rnacentral:lncRNA from 1 species
ACAAAUUAAUUGAAAAUGGACGGAAAACGACGAAAGUGGAGUCAGGUUGAGGAGCUGAGGCUGGGAAGGUAGAGCGUAGGAGUUAAGAGGAUGCCGGAAAAAUACACACGUAUACAAGGAAAUGGCAGCAGAAUUAACAUCAAUUGGAAUUACUGUCUCUGUCCAAGAAGUAAAAUUCAAAAUGCAGAAUAUGAUUUCCAAAUACAAAAAAGUGAAAUGUGACCUUCCAGAGCUUCGCCGCCAGCAUGGCCGCUAUUUGAAAAGCUCCACAAAAUAAUUUGCGGUCGUUGUGGAGGAUAGCCUGAAUGGUAUAUUUUAUUGAGCAUAUUAAAAAGGAAUUUCAAAUUUUAAAAA